CAGCCUCUGCUGUCACCAGUAACCCCAGGGCCUCCAGUUCUCUGGACAGGGCAAUGACUAGAGGUCAUCAUGGGGUGACACUGCCCCAGUGUCCAGGUGCAAGUGGAGCAGACUGAGGGAGAGAGACACUCACCUCGGCUCCAGCCCCAUCCUCACCCGCCAGCAGCUCGUCUGCCUGAGGUGAACAGUGUGACAUCACACACACGCUGCGACCAAACCUCAGCAACAGCUGCUACUGUACAUGAACUCCACCCUGCAGUGUCUGUUGGCCUUGAAAGCCUUCUUCCAGGACUUCUGUAAGCUUGCA